rnacentral:misc_RNA from 1 species
UUAUUAGAUUAUAAUAAGACUACGUUUGUUACUUUAAUGUUUGUAUAAAAUGGGCAGGCGCUCUAAUCACUUUCGUUUUCAAGACAGCCUUACAGUUCACAGGUGUUAUGGAUGAAGAUUGUACCGUAUUGGUACAAAACUCGUUAAUGAUCCUUCCGCAGGUUCACCUACGGAAA